UCUUCAACAAUCAGUUUUUUCUGAUUAAUGGUCAGUUUUUCGGUGCAUUAACUCUCGAUAUAAAAGGAGAAAGGAUUGUGAGUGCAUACCCAGUGCUACCAUGGAUUACGGUGCUGCUAUACCGUGCCAUCAAACAUGGUAGCUCUUAAACUAGUGCAUGAAAGAUUUAUCUAAAAUAUAUGGGUGGAUCGAGAAAGUAUAUAUUAUCAUGCAAAAUUUGAUGUUGAAUAAAAAAUAAUGCAAAGAGAAAUAAGAGAAAAUUUGAAUAGCUGCACAUAAAAAGGAGAAACAUGGCAGAUCGAGUUUGGAACAAUGUUAUCUCUCUUUCUUUCUCUUUUUUUUUUACCAUUUUCACAACUUUUUAAAGUAUGGAAACACGGAGCGCAUAAAGGUUGGGAGCACCAUAUUUGUUCUUCGACGAGGACGACACAUCUCUAUCUUACAUGAGUUUUUUUAUAUGCCCGAAGAGCCUAACUAUCUGAAUAAUGACGUCAUAAAUCAAGGAAAACUAUAUGUAGGCAAUGUA
rnacentral:lncRNA from 1 species